rnacentral:tRNA from 1 species
GACCUUGUGGGCGCAAUGGUAGCGGCGUCUGACUCCAGAUCAGAAGGCUGCGUGGUUCAAAUCACGUCAAGGCAGCU